AUGGUCCUACUCCUACCCACACGUCUUCUGUAUCAGAGGCGUCCCUCUCGCAGGCCAGCAGCCCAUGUUAUGUUUCAAAUGCACCAUUGCCAGCUACGGGACCUAGCAAGCUUCCACCACCUUUCACACAAGUGGGUGACCAGGUCCACUUGACUUCGGGCGUAUUGGUAACGUCAGAGCAAGCAAGAAAGACCUUCGGGAACAAAGAAGCCACCAUUGUGGUCAAAGAUGCUG